UGCCUCCUGGGUUCAAGUGAUUCUCCUGCCUCAGCCUCCCAAAUAGCUGGGAUUACAGGUGCCCACCACUGUGCCUGGCUGAUUGUAUUUUUAGUAGAGAUGGGGUUUCAUCAUGUUGGUCAGGCUGGUCUUGAACUCCAGACCUCAGGUGAUCGGACUGCCUCGGCCUCCCAAAGUGCUGGGAUUACAGGCAUGACCCACUGUGCCCGGACCUGCUUGAAUUUUUAUGAUGAGCAUGUUGGCAGAUCACGACUGCCAGCUCCGUGACAGCAAGAACCUUGUAUGACUUUUUCAUGAUGGAUGUUCAUCUGUGCCAUCUGUAAAUAUUGAAUAAAUAUUUGUGGAAUACAUGAAUCUAAAAGUGAAUGGAAUGAUAAAGAGGGAAAGGGUCAUGACAUCUACUACAGCAUUUGGCACAGACCCAGGUUUCCCUGGUACUGGUAAUUCCCAGCAGCUUUCUACAAUUCCAAAGGUCAGAAAUAAACUGCCAAAAAAUUUUUACUAAAUCAUGUUCUGGUCUGGGAUACAGCCCUGAAAUGCACUUUGAGCAAGAAAGACUUUGUAGAGGAGAAAAAAGGUGGACCAAUGAGGAUUGGGCUAGAACCAGAGGAAAGUGAACAUUCUUGGUUUAGAUAAAUAUCCACAACCUUCUAAGGUUUUCAUGUGUACUACAGAGAAGCUCCAGGCUCCUACAUUUCCCUGUGGGUAGUUUUAAAAAGCUACUGUAGCAAAACAGAGGCUGGUGGUGACUACGCUUAUCUUUUAGAAGAGCCAUCAUUGCAUUUCUGCAGCACAGAAUAUAUACGUGUUUUUUACUCUUAGUGGUGGAGUUUAUAUGUGACUCAUGAUGUUUAGUUGUUAAUCAUCCAAUGAUACUAAAUACUGCUUAGUUAGCUCAGUAUUCCCUUUAGGAAACCAGAUAUUGCUAAAGUCACUGUUCGACUUAAUGGGGAAAAUUCCACUAACAUCUAAAAUAUGUGAUUUAUAAUUCAAAAAUGUAAAUACUGUAUUGGUAUUACAUACUAUAAAAGGACAAUUGUCUACACAAUUACAUAACAUGCAUGUAAGGAUCAAUAUUUAAUUAAGACUAUUUUUGUAUUCUCAUUGGGAGUUAGAGCCCAAUAUUCUCAAUUGGGUGAGAAUUUCAGCCAAAUGGUCUAUCCAUUUUCUUUUCUUUCUUUCUUUUUUUUUUUUGAGACAGAUCUUGCUUUGUUGCCCAGGCUGGAGUGCAAUGGUGUGAUUUUGGCUCACUGCAACCUCCGCCUCCUGGGUUCAAGCGAUUCUCCUGUCUCAGACUCCCGAAUAGCUGGGAUUACAGGUGUGCACCACCAUGCCUGGCUAAUUUUUGUAUUUUUAGUAGAGGUGGGGUUUCACCAUGUUGGUUAGGCUGGUGUCAAACUCCUGACCUCAGGUGAUCUGCCUGCCUCGGCCUCCCAAAGUGGUGGGAUUACAGGCGUGAGCCACUGUGCCUGGCCAGUCUAUCCAUUUUCUAUUUCCCCAAAGUAACUUGUGAGAAAUGUCUUAGGCUAGAAUUUGCUUAUAUAUUUUCCAUCUUGCACAUGGUUAAAACGUGCAGUUUCCUAAACCAGUGGUUCUCGAACAUCAGUGUGCAUUAGAAUCACCUGGAGGGCUGGUUAAAACACAGAUUGCCAGGCCGUUCUCAGGGUUUCUGAUUUAGUAAGUCUGGCGGUUGGACCCGAGAAUCUGCAUUUCUAACCAGUGAUUCCCAAGUGAUGCUGAUGCUGCAGGUCUGGGGACCAAUGUCUUGAACUAACAGCUCUGAAUAAAAAUCUAAUUGGAUUCUGAAUGCCACAGAUGCAGUUUGGAGAUUGUUUUUCAAAGCAGAAUAUCCAUUUGUGGAAUAAAAAAGUUUAUCAUUGUUAUUACCUGAAGUAAUUUCUCUUUCCUUUGUGUUUUUAGAGGAGUUUUGUUGGUCGCUUUUAUCAGGCAUUAGGCCUUGUAUUACAUUCAUUUGUGCCUAUGCUUUAUCUCCUUUGUGACUGUGAGCUCUUUGAAGGACUGUGUUCAUCUUUAAAUCCUCAUUGUACCUUACAUCUUGUAGACUUCAAAUCAUUGUUUGGUAAAUUGAAUUUAGUGAUGUGUACAUGUUUUGUGCCUGCUUUCCUACAUGUAAUAAUUAUAAACAACAAAUAUCAAGUUAAGUAUGCAGCUCACAUAUUCUUUUUUUUUUUUUUUUUGAGACAGAAUCUCACUCUGCCACCCAGGCUGGAGUGCAGUGGCGUGGUCUCCGCUCACUGCAACCUCUGCCUCCUGGGUUCAAGCAAUUCUCCUGCCUCAGCCUCCCAAGUAGCUGGGAUUAUAGGCAUGGCAUGCACCACUGUGCCCAGCUAUAAUAAGAUUUAUUCAGACUUUUUGGCUUACAGAUGUUAGAUUUGAGGCAUUUCAGCUUUGGAAGAGACCAUAAGGAUAAUUCAAGUCCAAAGGUCGUUAAAGUCCACCACAUCUCCUCUACAGCCUACUCAUACUCACCUUUAGUUAAAAAAAAAAACAAAACACAAAACACAAAAUUCCAAAAACCUGGGGUGAGGGAGGCACCUUCCUUCCUGGGGUCCAUUUCAAAUUUGAGAAGGUGCUCAAACCUUGCCUUUCUACUUCUACCUAAAUGACCCUAUUUCAACCCCUUUUGAUAUCCUGUUUAGAUAGGAUAUUCUCCACGUCUGUUAUUCCCCAUUUGUUUCCCCUUUCUUUACUCCUAGACCUCCCUGCUCCAGAAGCAAGGGGGCAGCCACAGCCCCACAGCCUCUAGCUGCUGGCUGCUCAGGGCACGCAGGCUUGCUAUUGACAAGUCUGAAUCAUGACUGAUGAAGGGAGUGCUCUCUCCCUAGAAAACAACUUGGCAACUUUCUACUUCAAACCCAGGCUCACUACAGAAUUUCUUACCACAAUGACUUUCUUGGCAGCUGUCUGCAGUACUAUCAAGAGAUGACAUGGACUUCAAGGAUCAAACAGGGGAGAAAAAGGCUUAAAAGAAAAACAAGUCUCCAUCAAAGGUAAUAACCACAAUGAGAACUAUACAUAGCUAUGUGCUUAUAGGUCUUAGUUCACAUUCCCCUCAUUAAAAUUAUAGCUCAAGAAAUAAAGGGCUGUUUAAUGACUUGGGUAUAUAAAUAUACUUCAUUUGUAUAUUUUUUACUUGCUAAAAUCUAUCCAAAUUGGUAUUACCUCAAACCAUAAUCUUCUACUGUAUUUUAUAAUUUUACUUUAUUGCCAUGUAUUUUUCCCACUGAUGUUCACAAAUUCACAGGAAACAUCAGCCAUGUACUAAAUAAAAUAUGAAUUGAAUCGACAAAUAGAACUAUAAAUUUAAUUCAAGCACAUGUAAAAUUUAGACCAAAGAAUAAAAAUGUCUAUUAAAAAUACAGCCAAGCAUGGUGGCUCACACCUGUAAUCCCAGCACUUUGGGAGGCCGAGGUGGGUGAAUCAUCUGAGGUCAAGAGUUUGAGACCAGCUGGCCAUUGUGGUGAAACCCCAUCUCUACUAAAAUACAAAAAUUAGCUGGGUGUGAUGGUGGGCACCUGUAAUCCCACUACUUGGGAGGCUGAGGCAGGAGAAUCGCUUGAACCCAGGAGGCGGAGGUUGCAGUGAGCCGAGAUCCUGUCACUGCACUCUAGCCUGGGCGACAGAGAGACU
ensembl:lncRNA ERICH2-DT ERICH2 divergent transcript